UAAACUAGGAUUAGAUACCCUAGUAUUUAAGAACAUUUUAGGAAGUAAAACCAUUAUUUUAAACCUAUUUAAAAUGACGGCAUUUCAUCUCAUUAAAGGAAUCUGUUUUAUAAUCGACAAUCCACGAUAAUUUUCACUUAAAUCAUAAAAUUUAUAUACCGCCAUCUUAAAAAUUAAUUUAAUAAUAUUAUUUUAAAUAACUAAAUAAAAAGACAGGUCAAGGUGUAGUCUAUAUUUAAGCAAAUAAUGGAUUACAUUAAAAAUAAUUUAAGGAUUAGAAAUAUAAAUUUCUCUAUGAAAAAGGAUUUAAAAGUAAUACUACAAUAAUAUUUUAUUAUGAAUUAGAUAAUAAAUGUGUACAUAUCGCCCGUCACCCUUAUCACAAGGUAAGAUAAGUCGUAACAUAGUAA
rnacentral:rRNA from 1 species